UGCCAGACUCCUACGGGAGGCAGCAGUGGGGAAUAUUGGGCAAUGGGCGCAGGCCUGACCCAGCAACGCCGCGUGAAGGAAGAAGGCUUUCGGGUUGUAAACUUCUUUUAAGAGGGAAGAGUAGAAGACGGUACCUCUUGAAUAAGCCACGGCUAACUACGUGCCAGCAGCCGCGGUAAUACGUAGGGGGCAAGCGUUAUCCGGAUUUACUGGGUGUAAAGGGGGCGCAGACGGCGAUGCAAGCCAGGAGUGAAAGCCCGGGGCCCAACCCCGGGACUGCCCUUGGAACUGCGUGGCUAGAGUGCAGGAGGGGCAGGCGGAAUUCCUGGUGUAGCGGUGAAAUGCGUAGAUAUCAGGAGGAACACCGGUGGCGAAGGCGGCCUGCUGGACUGCAACUGACGUUGAGGCCCGAAAGCGUGGGGAGCAAACAGGAUUAGAUACCCGAGUAA
rnacentral:rRNA from 1 species